AAUGAACGCUGGCGGCAUGCCUAACACAUGCAAGUCGAACGAGACCUUCGGGUCUAGUGGCGCACGGGUGCGUAACGCGUGGGAGUCUACCCUUGGGUUCGGAAUAACAGUUAGAAAUGACUGCUAAUACCGGAUGAUGACGUAAGUCCAAAGAUUUAUCGCCCAAGGAUGAGCCCGCGUAAGAUUAGCUUGUUGGUGGGGUAAUGGCCUACCAAGGCGACGAUCUUUAGCUGGUCUGAGAGGAUGAUCAGCCACACUGGGACUGAGACACGGCCCAGACUCCUACGGGAGGCAGCAGGGGGGAAUUUUGGAAAAUGGGGGAAAGCCUGAUCCAGAAAUCCCGCGUGGGGGAUGAAGGCCUUAGGGUUGUAAAGCUCUUUUACCAGGGAUGAUAAGGACAGUACCUGGAGAAUAAGCUCCGGCUAACUCCGUGCCAGCAGCCGCCGUAA
rnacentral:rRNA from 1 species